AUUGAACGCUGGCGGUAGGCCUAACACAUGCAAGUCGAACGCGAAAGUCCUUCGGGAUGAGUAGAGUGGCGGACGGGUGGGUAACGCGUAGGAAUCUAUCCUGUAGUGGGGGAUAACGUUUCGAAAGGAACGCUAAUACCGCAUACGCCCCACGGGGGAAAGCGGGGGAUCUUCGGACCCGGGGCUAUAGGAGGAGCCUGCGUCGGAUUAGCUAGUUGGUGAGGUAAAGGCUCACCAAGGCGACGAUCCGUAGCUGGUCUGAGAGGAUGAUCAGCCACACCGGAACUGAGACACGGUCCGGACUCCUACGGGAGGCAGCAGUGGGGAAUAUUGCGCAAUGGGCGAAAGCCUGACGCAGCCAUACCGCGUGUGUGAAGAAGGCCUUCGGGUUGUAAAGCACUUUCAGUGGGGAGGAAAAGCUGGUGGCUAAUAUCCACCGGCCGUGACGCUACCCACAGAAGAAGCACCGGCUAAUUCCGUGCCAGCAGCCGCAGUAACAC
rnacentral:rRNA from 1 species